UACGGGGGGUGCAAGCGUUGUUCGGAAUUACUGGGCGUAAAGGGCUCGUAGGCGGCCAACUAAGUCGGAUGUGAAAUCCCCAGGCUUAACCUGGGAACUGCAUCCGAAACUGGAUGGCUUGAAUUCGGGAGAGGGAUGCAGAAUUCCAGGUGUAGCGGUGAAAUGCGUAGAUAUCUGGAGGAAUACCGGUGGCGAAGGCGGCAUCCUGGACCGACAUUGACGCUGAGGAGCGAAAGCUAGGGGAGCAAACGGG
rnacentral:rRNA from 1 species